rnacentral:rRNA from 1 species
GACGAACGCGGCGGCGUGCCUAAUACAUGCAAGUAGAACGCACAGUUUAUACCGUAGCUUGCUACACCAUAGACUGUGAGUUGCGAACGGGUGAGUAACGCGUAGGUAACCUGCCUGGUAGCGGGGGAUAACUAUUGGAAACGAUAGCUAAUACCGCAUAAUAUUAAUUAUUGCAUGAUAAUUGAUUAAAAGGUGCAAUUGCACCACUACCAGAUGGACCUGCGUUGUAUUAGCUAGUAGGUGAGGUAACGGCUCACCUAGGCGACGAUACAUAGCCGACCUGAGAGGGUGAUCGGCCACACUGGGACUGAGACACGGCCCAGACUCCUACGGGAGGCAGCAGUAGGGAAUCUUCGGCAAUGGACGAAAGUCUGACCGAGCAACGCCGCGUGAGUGAAGAAGGUUUUCGGAUCGUAAAGCUCUGUUGUAAGAGAAGAACGGGUGUGAGAGUGGAAAG